AACGAACGCUGGCGGCAUGCCUAACACAUGCAAGUCGAACGAGAUCUUCGGGUCUAGUGGCGCACGGGUGCGUAACGCGUGGGAAUCUGCCCUUUGGUUCGGAAUAACAGUUGGAAACGACUGCUAAUACCGGAUGAUGACGAAAGUCCAAAGAUUUAUCGCCAGAGGAUGAGCCCGCGUAGGAUUAGCUAGUUGGUGUGGUAAAGGCGAACCAAGGCGACGAUCCUUAGCUGGUCUGAGAGGAUGAUCAGCCACACUGGGACUGAGACACGGCCCAGACUCCUACGGGAGGCAGCAGUGGGGAAUAUUGGACAAUGGGCGAAAGCCUGAUCCAGCAAUGCCGCGUGAGUGAUGAAGGCCUUAGGGUUGUAAAGCUCUUUUACCCGGGAUGAUAAUGACAGUACCGGGAGAAUAAGCGCCGGCUAACUCCGUGCCAGCCGCCGCAGUAA
rnacentral:rRNA from 1 species